rnacentral:lncRNA from 1 species
GGAAUGCUAGAGAGGUUUUAUUCACGUGUCUUUCCAGAGAACCACAGAACAUACUCCGAUAGAUUUCAACAUCCGCAUUGCUAUCAAGACCACUUCUCAUCAGAAGAUUCUCUCAUCUCCAGAGGACCUGUAUACCUUGUCAGCUUUGGACUCCAUGGACCCAACCUUCCAGUCCACUGAACCUCCUUCCUGUGCCCUCAUGGCCCCAUUUAGGGACAGCUCUAUGACCUUGUUCAGCCAGAAGUAGUUACAGAAGUUGCAGGUCCUUCUAGUUGUGGGAUGUGGGACGCCGCCUCAACGUGGCCUGACGUGCGGUGCCAUGUCCGCGCCCAGGAUCCGAUCCCUGGGCCGCUGCAGUGGAGCACGCAAACUUAACCACUCGGCCACGGAGCCGGCUGCCUUUUGAUGGCUUUUUUACAUGAUCUUUCCUUUGUCUUGUAAAGAAAUAACUCACAUACCUGUGCCUUAUAAAUUUAGCCCUACCCUCAACCCAUUGCAGCUCUUUACUGCCCAUGGGUCCUGUCCCCAUGCUACUCCAUGCUAUUCUCUGAAUAAAGGAGCACUACUACCAGAUCUUGAGAAUCCAGGAAAUCUUUCUUUCAACUCCUCAGCUCACAGAGCCUGCAUCAUUUUUCAUUAGAACAGCUUAGCUAUAAUGAGAUGAUUGCACUUCAU